rnacentral:rRNA from 1 species
GACGUAGGGCGCGAGCGUUGUCCGGAUUUAUUGGGCGUAAAGAGCUCGUAGGCGGCUUGUUGCGUCGACUGUGAAAACCUGCGGCUCAACCGUGUGGUCUGCAGUCGAUACGGGCAGGCUGGAGUUCGGUAGGGGAGACUGGAAUUCCUGGUGUAGCGGUGAAAUGCGCAGAUAUCAGGAGGGAACACCCGGUGGGCGAAAGGCGGGUCUC